GAUGAAUAAACUUCGAACAGCAUAAUAUAAAAAUAUGAGACAAAUAAUUAUUUUCUAAAACACAAAGUAUACGAAGAAUCUGGUUUAAUGCCAUUCACCAUGCCAACUUAAGAAAAGAUCCAAGAGCUGACAAAUUUGCUCUAAAAGGUGUAAAAUAAAUGGUGAAAGGCAUCUAGUACUUCUUUCUAGAAAGAAAUAAUUUUUUUAAAGCCCAACAUCAUAAGAGGUCCAUGUCAUCCCAACCUUGCUUCUUGAUCUUCAGAUAGUCUUUAUGCAUAUAUAUGAAUUUAUAUGCAUAUAAUAUAUUUAUAUAUUUGUGGAAUCGUAGCGUCCCUGCUACGUUUAUACGAGUUUACAAUUUUGCACUCCCUUUCCCGUCCUACGUAGAAUCGCGAUUCUGUCAACCUUGGUUAGAACGGAAUUCAACCUUGGUUAACUAUAUUCAGCUUGGUUUUCAGUUUUAAAAUUGAGCUGACAAUUAGACUUUCAAUUCGAUCAAAUUGGAUUGAACUGUCUAAUUUAACUAUUCAUUUUUCAAAAACAAUUUUAGGCACUACAAUUUUAAAUAUUCAAUGAAAGUUUUCAUGUGAAUUUUUUUUUACAUCAUCUUAUGACCACAACUAGCUCAAAUAGUAGAAGCAAUUAAGCACUCGAAUCACACCCUUCAUUCCAUGGACGGUGGGACCGGGGUGGCUCACCGGUGCCGCCGCGCCCCUCAUUCCUAAGAUGCUUUUCGCAAGGAAUCUUGCCACAAACCUCCUGACGGAGAACCCACUCAUGUACACGUUGUGAGCCUUAUGUAUCACUUCCACUAAGCCAAACCCUUUUGGUUGACCGCUUUGAGUCUUUGACACUGCAUUGACUAGCACUAAGAUAAGCACUUUUGUUUCAUUAGUUUUUUAAACUACUAUCCAUGACCCCAAAAAAUAACCGGAACCCACCUCACCUCAACAGAAGAUGAACACAUAACUGUUAGUACAUUCUCCUGAAUUGUUGAUAAGAUCCCAAUCAAAUUCUGAAAAAGAGGGUUCCAUCUGAGACAAGGUUGGUGUUCAUUUUUACCGCGACAAGAUAUCAGAAUCCUUUGGAUCAUUACCAAAACCUAUUUUUGUAUUCUGGAAAAGGUAAUGACUUGAACUCGGAUGUGACUUUGUGAUGGAUUAGAUUAUAAAUCAUUUGCAAGAUUGAGAUACCAAGAAAACUCUUCCAUGUAAAAGAGAAGAAGACUGACUGCAAACUAACUUCUAAUAAAAAAGCUGGACACUAGUGUUGAUUUUUUUAAAAUAAUUAGGUGAGGAGUAUAUAAUCCCCCCUUCUUCUACACGAUGUCACAGGUUCAGGUAUGCAAAACAGAAUCAUAACUUGAAAAGAACAGGAAGGAGGAUCUACAGAAGUUCAAACAUCAGAAGCUCAAAUUCUAUGAAGUGUACUACAAAAACAACCCAACUUGGAUACCCACGACGUAAAAUUUGAGAGCAUAAUCUGUAAUGCAUUCUGUAGUUAUCACAUCAUGACCCCUCUCCUUCUGAAAGUUAAAGAACAAAGUAGAUGAGAAACUAAAAACAUUACCGACCGCCUAAUUAAACAAAUAAACAAAAGAUAAACUAGUCCAAAAAUAUCUGUGUGACUGGGCACAAGAUAAGUGUCAAUUCAUUGGGUAUAAGUAAUUGUCUAGUUGACAGGGAUAAAGAAUGAAUUUAGACUAGCCAAGAAGUGAAGGGUGCUUGGUAGACACCAUUUGAUUGAAAGUUGGGAUAAAGAAAUUUUCACCACAUAUUCCAGUUCUACAUUCAAGAAACAUCCCUAGCUGGUCCCAUAAAUAACAUGAACAAAACAAGACAAAUACUACACAAAACGGCUCAAUAAAACUUCAUCUUAUUUCCCUCUAGACACUAAAAUCCAGGUUGACAAAAUAGUAGUCUUUUAUGCAUCUGAAAUUGAAAGACUGGAGUACAGAAGGUCUAGGAUUUAAAAGUUCCUUCCGGCCUUUGGGACUCAAUUGUGCCUCCAUUGGUUCAGUCAAGACACUGUCCCAGGAAGCAGAUUUGAACAAUAAAAGAUUGCUUCAAUCUUCAGAAUACUUAUUACACAUCAUCAUUGCAAUCUGAUUAAAGAAAAGAGAUCAGUAUACACCUUAUUAUCAAUUGUUGUCCCUAAAAUCUAUGAUGCCGAAAACAAAUUGUAUGAAUUAUGGUUUAGAUGACAGAGUUUCAGCAACACGGUCACAUGAGACAUGUACAAGCAACAAACAGAAUUCUGAAGCAACUCAUACAAUAAUGCAGAGGGGUAUUUAUUUUAGUCUUUUAUUGAAAAAAGUCAAUAUAUUCAAUAUAAAUUCAAGACCCGCCAGAAAAUUAUGCCAACUUUUCUGUUUUUGUUCCUGACAAUUGUACUCAUGAUGAAUAAACUUCGAACAGCAUAAUAUAAAAAUAUGAGACAAAUAAUUAUUUUCUAAAACACAAAGUAUACGAAGAAUCUGGUUUAAUGCCAUUCACCAUGCCAACUUAAGAAAAGAUCCAAGAGCUGACAAAUUUGCUCUAAAAGGUGUAAAAUAAAUGGUGAAAGGCAUCUAGUACUUCUUUCUAGAAAGAAAUAAUUUUUUUAAAGCCCAACAUCAUAAGAGGUCCAUGUCAUCCCAACCUUGCUUCUUGAUCUUCAGAUAGUCUUCUCGUGGCCUACAAACAAAAUGUAUGGCUCACUUAAAGAUUUAGGCGAUGAGUGGGGAAAGCAGAAGAUUCAGGGAAUAACUUAAUCCAUCAAUCUUAGGUACGCACGAUUAAUAGUUACUAAAAAUAGAGAUGCAGUUUAGCAUAAGGU
rnacentral:lncRNA from 1 species